GAUGAACGCUGACAGAAUGCUUAACGCAUGCAAGUCUUUGGCGAAGCUGUGCUUGCACAGCCUAGCCAAGGCGGACGGGUGAGUAACGCGUAAGGAACUUGCCCUGCAGUCAGGGAUAACAGACGGAAACGACUGAUAAGACCUGGUAAAGUCAGGCGGACUCAUGUCCAGCCUGAUGAAAAGAGAUGCUGCAGGAGAGCCUUGCGUCCUAUUAGCUUGUUGGUGGGGUAACGGCCCACCAAGGCGAUGAUAGGUAGCCGGCCUGAGAGGGUGGACGGCCACAAGGGGACUGAGAUACGGCCCUUACUCCUACGGGAGGCAGCAGUGGGGAAUAUUGGACAAUGGGGGCAACCCUGAUCAAGCAAUUCUGUGUGCACGAUGAAGGUUUUCGGAUUGUAAAGUGCUUUCAGCAGGGAAGAAAAAAAUGACGGUACCUGCAGAAGAAGCGACGGCUAAAUACGUG
rnacentral:rRNA from 1 species